GUUAGGACAAUGCUUUCCCACAGUUGGGACUUUCCAGAGGAGUUGAGAAUGUUGUAAACAACAAGAUGGCGCCGAGGACCACGCGGUGAGCCUGCCUGCUGCGUGACACCUCAUCUGAUUGGCCCGAGGACGCGUGCACACUGCGUGAACAGACAGCGGAUUGGAGUGUUCCGUGCAUGGACUUGAGCCCGCUUGCAAUUGGCCAGAUUUUGUAUAUAAGCUGUGUGCUGAGGAAGGAGGGGGCUUUCCUGUCCACUCUCCUCCCUUCAUUCUUUCUCUGUCACUGUUAUUUUCUCAUUAAAAGUCUACUGAAGACCGAUAAGCUGCGAACAGUGUCGUUUCUUUGCGGGCAAGGGAGCGACAAGUGGUUCCAUGACUCGGAUUCGGACCACUUUCUACACGCAGGAAUAGAUAGGUUAAGCCUACAGCCUCCACCUGCAAGGCCUGAGUCCCACAUGUGCACCAGUUCAUAUCUCAGCUGCUCCACUUCUGAUCCAGCUCCCUGAUAAUAUAAUAGCCUGGGCAAAGCAACAGAAGAUGGUCCAAGUUCGGGCCUCUACCACCCACGUGGGAGAAGUUACUGCCUCCUGGCUUCAGCCUGCCCAAGCCCAACUUUUGCAGCGCUUUGCUCUCUGCUAUGGCCUGAGAAAGCAGUAGAAAAUGGUCCAAGUCUUUGAGGCCCUGCACUGCUUGGGAGACCUGAAAGAAGCUCCUGGCACCUGGCUUUGGAUUGGCGCAGCUCCGGCCAUUGCGGCCAAUUGUGGAGGGAACCAGCAGAUGGAAGACUUCUCCUUCUCUGUGCAACUUUGACUUUCAAAUAAAUAAAUAAAUCUUUAAAAAAAACCCAAACUAUAGUUGAUUUAGUUAAUUUUCUUUAUAAGGAAAUCCACCAGAAGCAAUGCAAUUCUUUCCAGUAUUAAUUGAAUUCACAGUUCUUGCAAGAAAUGCAAAUGAGUUCUUAGAAAUUUCUAUUUAACAAAAUCAUGGUUAAAAAUUCUUCAGGCUCAUAUGCCUCAAUAUACCAUUAUAAUUAUUGAUUCUUUUUUAUGGAUUGAAGGUAACAUGGGGAUGGGGUUGACACAAUAAUAACUGCAGAUUUAAGUAAUCUAUAAACAUUUGUCAUGAAAAUAUGCUCUGCUAAAAUAGAGCAAAAAUUGGAAAUUCAAAUUAGGUGGGUCUUACAACGAGCAAAAUAAAUAAAGUAUAAGAGACAUGGCAUGGCAGAGGGAUGGUGGGGAGGAAGAGUUAGGGAGGUGGGGAGGACAUGUAACCAUCUAAAGGUCCGUGACUGUCAGCUCAGAUAGCUGCCUUUUGGCAAUGCAGGCCCAAUAUUGUCAUUACACAUACACAUUUUUUCAAGAAAGACGGAAAAGCUGAAUCCUUAUAUGAAAUAUCUUACUUUUUUUGAUAUUUCAUCAAAAAGAAUAACAUUUUAGAGUGAACUACUGAGUGCUUCAGCAAAAAUGCCUCUUUCUGCACCUGGCAAUGACGUCUAGUUUAAUGAAAUUUUUACCAUCGAGUAAAUGUUAGUCAACAGUAAGUUGCUUGUAGGGAACAAUAUCAGGAAUAAAACACUGCACACUGUAUGUGACUUUCAUAUGUUCAUAGUUAUAUAACUUCUUCCUCUUACAAAGAACAAAAAACCUAACUGCAGACGUCUUGAUUUUUUUCAUGUUCAUUUAUUUGAAAAACAGAAUGAGAGAGAGACAGAGAGAAAGAGAGAGAGAGAGAGAGAAAUUCUGUCUACUGGGUCACUCCCCAAAUGGCCUGAUUUGUCAGGGGGUCAGGCUGAAGCCAGGAGCUUGGAACUACAAAAGAGUCUUCCAUGUGGGUGGUAGAGGUCCAUGUACAUGAGCCUUGGGAAGCAUUCACAGGGAGCUGGACUGGAAACGGGCAGCUGGAACUCUAAUUGGUGUUACAAUGUGCAAUUCCCAGACUACUUGAUAACAUCAUUUACUGCUAUUAGAUUUCUGCACAUUGCCACACAGAAACAUUGCCCUAACCUAUUAAACGUUCCUUUCUUAAAAAAGAUUUAUUUACUUAUUUGAAAGUCAGAGUUACACAGAGAGAGAGAGAGAAAGAGAGGUCUUCCAUCUGCUGGUUCACUCCCCAGUUGGCCACAACAGUCAGAGCUGAGCCGAUCCAAACCCAGGAACCAGGAGCUUCAUCUGAAUCUCCCACAUGAGCUCAGGGGCCCAAGGACUUGGGUCAUCUUCUACUGCCUUCCGAGGCCAUAGCAGAGAGCUGGAUCUGCAGUGGAGCAUCUGGGUCUUGAACCGGUGCACAUAUGGAAUGCAAGCAAUGCAGCUUUACCUGCUCUGCCACAGUGCCCGUCCCUUAAAGUUUCCUUUUAAGACCUCUUGCUUUUGAAUCAUAAAGAGCAUAUUGCCUUUUUUCAUAUGUAGGGAAUAAAAUACAGGGAUUCUUAUUAAUCUAGUAAACUUUCUCCCUAAAUUUUUGGCAAUGCGACCCCGCUUCUAUUCUAUUCUAUUCUAUUCUAUUCUAUAUAUAUAUAUAUUCUGUUCAUAUGGAUGCAGUAAAAUAAGAGAUAAUAAAGAAGUGCUAAUUAAAAAAAAAAGAUUUAUUUAUUUAUUUAUUUACUUGAAAAUCAGAGUUACAGAGAGGGAAAUAUCUUCUGUCUGCUGGUUCACUCCCCAUUCUGUCGCAACAGUUGGGGCUCCAGAGGCAGGAGCUUUUCUGAGCCUCCAACAUGAGUGCAUGGGCCGAAACUGUUGGGCCACAUUCUGCUGCUUUUCUCAGGCCAUAAGCAGGGAGCUGGAUCAGAACUGGUGUAGCCAGGAUGUGAACCAGUGCCAUAAGGGAUGUUGGUGUCACAGGCAGCAGUUUACCUACUAAGCCAGAACACUGGCCCCUAUUUUUUAUUUUUUAUCUGUAGACUAAUGUUGCUAUUAAUAUUUAUUUACUUUUUAUUUUUUAGGCAGUGGGGAGAAAGAUAGUGAGAGAGAGAAAAAGGGAGAGAGAGAGAGGUUGAGAGAGACACAUCCUCUACCUGCCAGUUCACUCCACAGUUGUUCAGCUAAGGCUAAGCCAGGGCAAAACAGGAGCCUGGAAUUCAAUUCAACUCUCCACCAGGGGUGGUAGGUACUCAGGGACUCAGCUACCUGAGCCAUCACCUGCUACCCACUAGGAAGCACAUUAACUGGUAGCUAUUGUCAAACUGUAGUGCAGGGCAGUUGAAAACAACAGACAAUCACACAAAUAUGAGGUGGAUUCUUCAACUUGUUGUGGAAAAAUAAAAAUUUAAAUAUGUGUAUAUACAUAUAUAUAUCUGUUGCAGUAUUUUUAAAAAAUAGACACUACCAUUCUUACAUUUUACAUACUUUUGGCUGUAUCCUUAUUUUCCAACUAUUUGCAUUCUUGUGCACCAGAAUGAAGAAUGCUUGUGCCAAUAAUUAUAUCUUCUAAAUCACAGUAUUUCCAUCUGUUGUAGUCACCAGUUAGUCCUUUAAUAUUAAUUAAAUUAUUGACCAUGUUUUUGGAUGUCAAUGAAAUUUUUAAUUUUAAAACUUAAGUUUAUAUUUUCAUAAAAAGAGCAUGGAUAGAAUUAGAAUUCCUCUAGGUAACAGGAAGCAGGAAAUAGAUAUUUGAUAGUGAACUGAUAAAAUCUUCCACACAAACAAUUUAAUUUUGUGUCAUUUUUGACACUUUUUCCAUAUAGCCCAUGUGACUCAGGGAAGCUUACUGCAUUAGUGACUCUGGGUACAUUCUAAUUAGUCCCAACAAAUCACUGGAAAAUGCUUUCUGGUGGCUUUCACUGGUCAAAUAGACGGCAUGUGAUCUAAACUAUCCCAAUCAGGCUAAACGAAAUAAUUUAUAUUCUAUUUUUUUUUUUUUUUGACAGGCAGAGUGGACAGUGUGAGAGAGAGACAGAGACAAAGGUCUUCCUUUGCCAUUGGUUCACCCUCCAAUGGCCGCCACGGCUGGCGCACUGCACUGAUCCUAUGGCAGGAGCCAGGUGCUUCUCCUGGUCUCCCAUGGGGUGCAGGGCCCAAGGACUUGGGCUAUCCUCCACUGCACUCCCUGGCCACAGCAGAGAGCUGGCCUGGAAGAGGGGCAACCGGGACAGAAUCCGGCGCCCCGACCGGGACUAGAACCCAGUGUGCCAGCGCCGCAAGGUGGAGGAUUAGCCUAGUGAGCUGCGGUGCCGGCCAACCACUUUUGAGGUACUCACAUAAUUCUCACUUCCUUCUUUCUGUCCACCCAAUACUCUAUCCUCAAAUCCUUCGGUCUUUAUUCUAACACACGAAACCCAGGGCAAAAGUUCUACCAAUUACUAUUGGCAGCUAUCUUGUGUCUAGGAGGAUAAUUAGUAUGCAAAUAAUUAGCAUACAGAUGACAUAUCACAGAUAUGGAGACAACCUGGAUUCUUAUUCACAUUCCUGGGAUGCACUGGUGCUUACUUUACUUAAGACUCACUGUCAAAUAGGUAACGAAUGUUCUGUUUGUUUAAACCAAAACAUAAAAAUAGCAUACAAUAUUAUAAAAUAUUGCUAGUCUGUUACCAUGUCUAUACAGAAAUUAACAUAUUUAAAAUUCCACAAAAUGUUAUUUUUUUCUAUAAGAAAAAAUUAGAAUGGUGAUAGAAAUAACAACAAUUAAUAUGUGCUGAAAUAGAAGAAACAUAAAUGGCUGCAUCUGUAAAAUGCCAUAAUUAAUGCAUUGUACUUUUUCAGAAAGUGAUGUUCACUCUGCCUAAGAGAUUACCAAAGAGAAAAUUGCUGUAAUUUGUAUGCUGUAGACUCCAGCAGAACCUUGCUGACUCAGUGGCUGACUAACAAGUAGACUAAUUUAGGUUUAAUAUCAAUUCUGUUCAUUUAUUAGUGGUGUGAAAAAGCACUAAAAAGGUCAAAAGUCGGGUGUAAAGAGGGAGAAGUAAUAUUAUGUUGAUAAUCUACUGAACUGGAGAACUCUGAAUAUUGUAGAAGCAAGUCUACUCACGUAACUACAUUCUUUAAAAAGCUGGUAAUACAUUCUGAGUUUAACUUACAUAGCAAUCUAAAUGGUUAGAUUCAUGUACAAUUAAGUCAAUAAACUGAGUGAAUAGCAAACCAAAAAGAAUUACACCAUUCAGCACACAUUUAUUCAAAAUUUAAUUACUUGUAACUACAGAACUUAUAUUUCAAUAGUGCACAUGCAGAUACUAAAAACCUGUUUGUUAACAGAUUGAUUUAAUGGUCAAAUUAUCAACUUUCCUAAGAGACUGUAUAAUGAUACAUAGAAGAAGAAUGCAAUUAUAUUUAUUAAACUUAUAGAAAAUUAUUAAAUUAUUUUAAAUUCCUUUCUUGAAAAAUAGGCAUGUUGGGAACUUUUAAGUAAAAUGUCAAACCAUAUUUAAAUUUAGCAACCUGGUAAAAGGAAUUGCUCCUAAGACUUCUCAGUGUAAAAAUGGACAGCAAGAGACUUGUUUACAUCUUUGGAAGGUGAAAUUCUCAGUAAUGACAACAGCUUACCACAGAUGACUCAAGUCAGCUCACAAUGCUUUUGUCACAGACAGAAAGGCACGAGGACAUCCAUGAUUAAGAAUAACAUCGUGUGCAUGGGUUUGAAAAUCAGCAACACUUAUCUGUUGAUCUUGGGAUCAGUGAUUCCGAGACAAGGUGACUACUGAGACUACAUGUGUUGUCAGACUAAUUGGAUAAACUGGCAGUGAUAUAGCAAAUGGGAGUGCAACAGAGCAGCUUUAAAAUGUCAACACUUAUACAAGUGAGGCUUUUAGCUUUAAAAAAGAACUUUUAUCAAUAAAUAAGAGGUAUAAAAUUAGAUAAAUGAUGCACAAACCAAUACUGUAAAAGAAAUGAGCUGGUAUACAAGUUAUGAGAUAGAGUUUGCAUCAUUUAAUAUUUCUAAGAUUUCCUCUUCACUAAAACAAGAGAAUAUUUUCCCCAAGGUUUAGAAUGAAGAUAAUAAUAUUGAAAAUCAUUGCAAUUUUAAAUCACAAAAAGGCCAGCUGGCUCCUGUUCAUGUGCUCUUGACAACUAUGCAAAGCACCCUCAGUUCCAAAUGUCUUCAAAAAUACUAUGACAUGAACAGUGUGCUAAUAUUUACACAGGUUUUGAAUAUGGAGAAAACAAACUGUAAUAGCAAUAAUCAUGAAGGAGUAAAUUACUAGAGCUAAGUGGAUUCCAAAUUAUUUUUUAAAAUAAUAACCAUCCUGGGGCCAGGGCUGUGGCACAGCGAGUUAAAACGCUGGCCUUGAAGCACCGGCAUCCCAUAUGGGCGCCAGUUCUAGUCCUGGCUGUUCUUCCUCUGAUCCAGCUCUCUGAAAUGGCCUGGGAAAACAGUGGAAGAUGACCCAAGUCCUUGGGCUCCUGCACCAACGUGGGAGACCCAGAGGAAGCUCCUGGCUCCUGGCUUCAGAUUGGCACAACUCCGGGGUUGCGGACAUCUGGGAAGUGAACCGGUGGAUGGAAGACCUCUCUCUCUGUCUCUACCUCUCUCUGUAACCCUUUCAAAGCAAUAAAAUAAAUCUUUAAAAAAUGAAAUAAAAUAAUAAACAUCCUAACAGUUGUGAGGUUAUAUGCUGUUGUGAUUUUCAUCUUGACAAUUAUCAACUUUGAGUAUCUUGCCGCAUAUCAUCUGUUGCCCAUUCUCAUGUCAUCUUUUAGUAAGCGUCAUUUCAACUCCUCAGUCCAUUUCUAAUUGGGUUGUUUACUGGAACAAGGUUGCAAGAGUUAUUUACAUAUAUUAGAUAUUAAUCUCCUAUUAGAUACAUGGUUGAAAUAUCUUCUCCAUUUCUUAUUUUGUCUUUUUUUCUUUGUUGGUUUUUUGGUGUGCAGAAGCCAUUACAUCUGAUUUUUAUUUCUUUCUGCUUUUAUUACCUAUGAUUUUGGUGUCAUAUUCAAGGAAUCAUUGUCCAGAUCAAUGCCAUCAAAAUUUCUGCUAUAUUUUCUUCCAGUUAUAUUGAUAUGGACCUUAUGACCAUGAAUCUAUUUUGAGUUGAUUUUGUGGACUCUGUAUUAUAAGGACUAUUUCAUUCUUUUCCACAAGGAGGUCCAGUUGUCCUUGGACCAUUAGCUGAGAGAGUAUUCUUAUUAUUUUCUAGGCACCCUAGUUGAAGGUCAGUUCACUAUAUGUACAUAGGUUAUUGCAUAAAUAAAAGGUAUGAAGUCUUGGUGAGAAUGUGAACAAACUGGAAUACCUGUGCACUGUUGGUGGAGAUGUAAAUGAUGCAGAGCUAUGGAACAAAGUAUGAGGUUAUCUCAGUGUUUCAAAAUAGAAUAGCCAAUUACACUUCUUACUGUAUUUCAUUUCUCCCUAUUCUAUGUUUGUUGCAACAUUAAUCACCAUAGACAAGAUGCAGAGACAACCUAAGUAUCUGUCAACAAAUACUAGCUGAUAGAAUCAAAAAGGGAGAGAACGAUCCAACAAGGGAAGUGAGAUACACAGCAGACCCAUAGAAUGGCAGAUGUCCUGAACAGCACUCUGGCCUCAGAAUCAGCCCUUAAGGCAUGCAGAUCCGGCUGAAAAGCCCAUGAAAGUAUUUCAGGCAUGGAAAGCCAA